GGCUGGAUCAGCCAGUCUUGGCCCACAAAGUCCCACCUCUGUCCCUUAGCUUCAGCCGUGUUGUGUUUCAUGACAGCUGCUUUAUAGUUUAGUUCGAAGAUCGAUUCUCCAAAGAGCAAAGGGAAUAACUCGCCUUUCUGCCAGAGUCGCCACCUUUGGGAAGCGGCUCUGGUUUGGGUGAGUCCCUGGCUGCCCCGCAGGAGCCGGGUGGCCACGGCCUUGGCGUCCCUGGGCCUUGACCGCCCACCGCCAGCCCUGUCCACACUGCUCCUGCGAGCGGCGGGCCCGGGAAGGAAGAGUUAACCAGAAAUGGAGCGGCGCAGCUCCGGGGCAGGCAGCCUCGCUGCAGAACCGAGCAGCGUUCGUGCAAAGGUGUCUAAAUGUGCUUUUGCUUGGAAUCCAAGGCCAGACCAAGUAGACGGCAAGUUUUGGAGUAGAGGGAACAACUCCAGAGGUGGCCAACUUGGGGAAGGAGGAGCAGCAUUUCUGUGUGGAUUCUUUCAUUCACUAAGACCCUGACGCAGAAGCCACCCAAAGAGCCUAGACUGUGAGUCGAAGUCAUACGCUUAGGCUCAGCCCUUCUGUGCUGUGUCUCCUGUCCCAGUCAGGAGUAAACAUCUGUGUGCGAGAGGUCCUGUUUCCUAAUUUGUGGCAACGGGUUCCUCCGAAUAAUUAUAUUCAAAAUAAGUUCUGUGACGGGAGCAGAAUUUGAAGGCAGUAUUGAAAUGAGUGCCCUGGCUUUGUUCCCUGCUGGCUUCCUGCCAGUGAGGUGGGGCUGCGAGACCAGUUUCUGAAACCACGGCCCACAACACACAGCCAGGUGUUGACACAGAUUUCAUGUGUUCUCGCUCUUUUUUAAAAAAAUUGAAAUAUAAUUGAUUUACAACGUUGUGUUCAUUUCAGGUGUACAGGAGUGAUUCAGUUAUACGUGUAUAUAUUUAUGUAUUCUUCAUUUAAAAAUUAACAAAUAAUUAUUUAUUUUGGCUGUACUGGGUAUUCACUGCUGCACACGAGCUUUCUCGAGUUGCGGUGCACGGGCUUCUCAUUUCGGUGGGUUUUUGGUGCGGAGCACAGGCUCUAGGGCUUGAGGGCUCUAGAGCACGGGCUCAGUAUUGUGGCCACAAACUUAGUUGCCCUGUACUAUAUGGGACCUUUCCCACCCAGGGAUCGAACUGGUGUCCCCUGCUUUGCAAGGUAGGUUCUUCACCACUGGACCACCAGGGAAGCCCUAUAUAGUCUUUUUUUAGGUUCUUUUCCAUUACAAGAGAUUGAGUAUAGUUUCCUGUGCUAUAGUUAUCUACUUUAUAUAUAUAAAUGUAUAAAUUUUAACCCCAAACUCCUAAUUUACCCCUCCCCACUUUGACCUUUGAUAACCAUGUUUGUUUUUUAUGUCUGUGAGUCUGUUUCUGUUCUGUAAGUAAGUUCACCUGUAUCACGUUUUUAGAUUCCGUAUAUGUCUCAUGUGUUCUUCUGCCACAUCAUAGAGCCCUGACCCGGGCCCAUCCUGCAGACAGCAUCU
rnacentral:lncRNA from 1 species